rnacentral:misc_RNA from 1 species
GUAAGCCAGUGCAAUGCAUAUGCCAAAAUAUUACAGAUACGUUGAGGGCGAGUACAUAUGAUCUUAACCCUAGAGGUCAAGAUCUGGCCAAAGGUAUGAGAAUGUGAGCUAGCGCCAAAGCUUGGCGCAAAGAUUGAAUUUUAAAUUUCAUAAACUGACGGUGAAUUCAAAACCACACGCACUCUCUACAGAUCCGGAUGUUAGAGUUGAAAGAAAGAGGAUUUCUCGUUCUGUCCACAAAUCUCAGGUGCCCAUCUCUACUCCUUGGUGUAGAACGACUUUUCUUUAUGCGAGUUUCUAUAUUGGAUACAUCUCACCUGUUAUUCUUUUCUCAAAUUCAAAGAUCUUUAUUAAUUUUAGUUCUCUCAUUACUUUUGAGCAAUUCGAAUGAUUAAAUGUUUUGUAUUUCCAUUUUUGUCAUAUUUCCCUGAAUCUCUGUUUACCCAAUUGAGUUGUUGCGCCUUACAAUUCAAGAAAAAUGAGUAGAUUAUGAGCUAGCCACGUUGUCUCACUCUAAUUUCCAAUUUCACCGUUUGAGAUCAGAAAAAGGAAGUCCCUUGUCCCGUUGCUGUUGCUUUUACUGCCUCUUCUCUCUCUUUCUUUAUAUUUGUGGCGCCAAUUGGGUAGUUAUGGUGAGAGAGCAAAGGUUAGGGUCUUUUUAUGCUCACCUCCGUGAAUCAGUCUCGGCUUCAUCUAUUUCUCCUCUGCUUAUAUUCCCCUCAACUUCUGAUGUUGAUUCACUAUGUGCUCUUAAAAUCAUUUUUCAUAUUCUUGAAUCUGAUUCUGUCCGCUAUUCUUGCUAUCCCGUCUCCUCUUUCGAAGAAAUUCACAAAUAUGCUGGCGCUGAAAUGAGUUCACCAUCAAGUGAACCCAUUUCAAUCCUCUUAAUUAAUUGGGGUUGCCAGCGUGAUUUGCGGAGGUUACUCAAUUUAGGCCGUGGGGUGCGUGUUUUUGUCAUUGACAGUCACCGUCCCAUCCAUUUGCAUAACCUAAGCGAGAAAAAUGACGGUGUGAUUGUGCUUUACACGCAUGAUGAUGAGCAACAAGCUGACUUAGCUUAUGAUUUUGAUGUUUCGGCUUUGGCUAAUGCGAGCGAGUUGAAUAGUGAUGAUGAGAGUGACAGUUCAGAUAGUGAAGAGGAGGAAGAUAGUGAAAGUGAGGGCGAAGAGGAUGGAAGUGGUGGGUCGAGAAAGCGAAGGAGGGUUUCAAAAGAGAAUGAAGAUGACCCACUUCAGCUUUUCAGGAAAUUGAAGAGGGAAUAUUAUCACAUGGGUACUUUCCAUGGAAAGCCCUCAGGGUGGUUGAUGUUUGACUUAUCACAUUCUUUGAGGAAGAACACAAAUGAAUUGCUUUGGUUGGCUUGUGUUUCGCUAACUGAUCAGUUUGUUCACGAGAGAUUAACAGAUGAGAGGUACCAAGCCGGGGUUAUGGAGCUUGAGCAACAUAUAAACAGUUCGGGUAAUUUAGAGGCUGUUUCUAUGGUGACUCUCAAAGAUGGAACAAAGAUUCGAGCACCUGAGUCAUCAAGGAUUGCAUAUGAAGAUGAGCCACGACUUAUGUUAUUAAGGGAGUGGAGUUUGUUUGAUUCGAUGCUGUGUUCUUCAUAUAUUGCCACAAAAUUGAAGACAUGGAGCGACAAUGGAAUGAAGAAGCUAAAACUUCUCCUUGCAAGAAUGGGAUUUGCGCUUGUGGAUUGCCAACAGAAGUUUCAAUACAUGAACCUUGAAGUGAAGCGAAAGAUGAAAGAUGAAUUUGAACGGUUUUUACCUGAAUAUGGUCUUACUGAAUUUUACUAUAGGAGUUUCUUGAGGCUUCAUGGGUAUAGCUCCAGGGUGUCUGCAGCAGAUGUGGUCUAUGGGGUUACUGCAUUGCUUGAGUCAUUCGUUGUAUCUGAUGGCUCUUGUGCUUCCAAGCAGUUUGGGGAGGCAUAUGAUGCACUGUCUUUGAACAACCUUGAUAAGUUGAAAGUUGGAAUGCAACAAGCAAUCAAGGUACAACGAGCAAUUCUUAGACAAGGAAGUACAGCAAUAACAAAAAGUGGCUCUAUCAGAAGUGGAAGAAAGUUCAGAUGGGUAAAGCUUGAGGAUUCAGUGGACACAAAGUUGUUGGGUUGCCCACAAGCUUUGACUAAAUUCUGCUACUUUUUGAUGGAUGCCUUGAGAGAGAAAGGAGCUAGGGCAAAGCCCUUGCUUUGCGCAUGCUUAUCACAAGAACCAGACAAGAUGUUGAUUGUUGGGGUUUGUGGAAAGCCUCGACUUGGGGCAGUUCAAGGUAACGCCUUUGGAGUUGCAUUCAGAAAUGCAGCUGAGGAGAGUGGAGCCGAGUUCUUUCAUGAGUUGUUUGAAUCUUCAUGGAUUGUUUUAGAUAAAGGUGCAGUUAAUAAUUUUAUGAUUAGAUUAACUGAGAAGCUAUGAUGGAGAACUCUGUCUACUGUCCAUGAUGGAGAACUCUGUCUACUGUCC